ACUAGAUACCCGUAUGUAGAAAUGACUGACUUGUCGACAAUCGGUAAUGUUUAUAAAGGAAACGAAAAUGGAAACUCUUUUUAACCAAGAGGACUAUUUUUAAAGUUUGAAGAUCUAUUUGUAUUCAUCUAUUCAAGUCCAGUCAAUUUAUUACUAUAGACCCUUGUCCAGUCAAUGUGACCCUCGUCCAGUCAUUAUCCUUGUCCAGUCAAGUUUUUAUCAUAGACCCUUGUCCAGUCAAUGUGAUCCUCGUCCAGUCAACGUGACCCUCGUCCAGUCAUUAUCCUUGUCUAGUCAAGUUUUAAUUAUAGAUUCACUCAGGAAAGUUCAUUUGGUAACAUUUGGUCAAGCAAUUUCAGAGAAGAUUUACGGACGCCAAGUCAAUAGCUCACACGGCCCCUUGAUACAGAUUGAACAUCUGUUAUUUGUAUUUCAUCCUUGUCCAGUCAAUUAGAUAAUUGUCCAGUCAAUGUAAACCUUGUCCAGUCAAUGUGAACAUUGUCCAGUCUAGUUGCUAUUAUAGGAUAUAAUGGAAAAUUGGAAUGAGAAACUUCUUGCAGAUGCUGAGAAUGGAGAUAUAGAAGCUUUAAAACUAAGCCUAGUGAAUAAAGCAGACAUUGAUUAUCAAGAUG